CGGACCCGUCCGUGACCCGCCCACACGCGUCGCGGCCGGCGCCGAAGCGCACAGGCACUCGCAAAACGGGCCCUUUCCCUCGGGCUCGAGAACAUUAGCCGCGUGUAGCCGACCUGUUGCCUCACAUGGGCCGAAGGGGGAACCCAGGAGAAGGAAAUGGUGCUGCGGGGACGCGCUUGGACUGGCCCUGACUGGGAAGGAGCUGGUGUUUGUCGGCGGUGACUCACCCCUUCUCCAGCCUCGUCAGGAGUCAACUCUGUGACCAGCUCGCUGCCUGUGAGCAGCUGAGUGAGGGGACAGCCCGAGGAGGAGAUGAAGUGCCAGGCAGGCUCUGCCCCUCCAUGCCCAUGAGCACAUGGGACAGUGUCCUCUAGAUGGGCUUGGAUUGGUCCCAGAGGCCCAGAGUGUGCCGCUGACCGGCAGAGCAGGAU